CUCUUAUGGCCGCACCUGAGGCAUAUGGAAGUUCCCAGGCCAGGGACUGAAUCUGAGCUGUGACCUUUGCCAAAUCGACAGCAAUGCCGGGCCUUUUAACCCACUGCGCUGGCCGGGCAUUGAACCCGAACCUCCACAGCCACCGGCGCUGCUGCAGGUGGAUUCCGAGCUCACUGUGCCACAGCAGGAGAUCCAGAGUUUGCCUUUUUUUUUUUUUUUUUUUGAUUACAGGAUGUCUUGACCUGAAUGCAAUGCAGUCUCACACCCGGAAGUGGAUGCUGGACCCAAAGACAGAGGCGCCAGGGAACUCCUAGUGCUCACAGAAAGUGCAGAAAUUCCUGGGAUGUUUCUUCUCUCUGUUCUGCGUGCUCCAGAAACCAAGCAGUCCCGUGGUGGUGACGGCGGAGGCCACAGGGACAGCUGAAGAAGCCAACACUCCAAGGGAGGGGAGCUGGGACCCCCAAGAAGGUGAGACAAACCCCGAACUGCCUUUUUCUCUCUUUAUCCUGCUACUUGCCCUGGAUCAAGCACAAUCACAGGCGUGGCAGCGGAGAGCCAUAACUAACACCUCAGCUUGGGGGCCCCCCAGGAAAAGCAGAGGCCCAGGCACUGAAAAGGACCUGGCAGACAGUGCCAUAGAGCAGAUGCCCGUGUCUCCCCAGGUUCGUAUGUUGAAAGCUAACGUGCUGGUAUGAGGAAGGAGGCCUCUAGGAGGGGAUUCGGCCACAGGGGCUUCACGAGCGGGAUCAGGGCCCUUCUAAGAGACCUCCGAGGGCCCCUCCCCCUCUGCCGCGCAAGAACACACAGUGAGACGGCAGGUGCCUCUGAACCAGGAAGCGGGCCUUCAUCAGUCACCAAACCUAUGGGUGCCUUAAUCUCGGACUUCCCAGCCUCCAGAACUGUAAUAAAGAAACUGUAGAAAAUGAAUCUUAUUGUUGAAGCCACCCAGUCUGGCAUUCUUGUUAUAGCAGCCUGAGCAGACUGAGACGGAUUGUUCAUGAACCCCUGGGCUCACGCCCGAGCUCGGCAUGUGUGGGUCUGAUCCUAAGCAGGGUUUUGAAGUCUGAAACUGAGCUCACAGAUACAUCACCACCCACGUUCCAAACUAACCACCAGGUAACCCACGCGUGGGACAUACCUGAACAGUGCCGCAAAGAUUUGAAAAACUAACCUUGCACUGGAAACAGAGCCCACAGAAAAUGGGUUGAAACUUGCAACUUUAACCUAGCCAGAUGGAUCGUUGGUUAAAAAAAAAUCAACAGUCUUUAUAGGAUUUUAACAAGAUCCAGAGUUUCACUCAAUAUGUCCGGGAUAUAAGCCAACAUUUUAAGGGUACGAAUAACCAGAAAAUCUCAACUUGCACAGGAAAAGACAGGCAGUAGACACUAAUGCCGACUUGACAACAGAUGCUUCCAUGAGCUGUGGUGUAGGCUGCAGAUGUGGCUCAGAUCCUACAUUGCUGUGGCUGUGGCAUUAGUCAGAAGCUGUAGCUCCGAUUUGGAUCCCUAGCCUGGGACCUCCAUAUGCCUCAGGUACAGCCCUAAAAAGAAAACAAACAAACAAACACAGCUAUUACAUAAAUGCUUCAAACAACCAACCACUAACAUUCUUCUUUUCUAAGCUAGGGGUCUAAUCAGGCUACACCACAGCCACAGCAACGCCAGCUCCUUAACCCACUGAGCAAGGGCUGGGAUCGAACAUGCCACCUCAUGGUUCCUAGUCGGAUUCGUUAACCACUGAGCCACGACGGGAACUCCUUUCAUCUCUUCUUAUGAGAAUAUAAAUCCCGUCAUGAAGGCACCACUCUCAUCUCAACUUCAUUGCCUCCCAAAGGCCUCACCUCCAAAUACCAUCACUUUGGGGGUUAAAGCGUCAACAUAUGAGUUUGGGGCGGGGGUGGGACACAAACACGCAAUCCGGAAUAGGUAGGAUUCUCAGCAAUAUGUCUAGCGAUUCCCUAACAGAAGGUCUGCUUUCCUUCCUGGCACUUUGAGCUCUGUGGGGAGGUCCUUGUCUGUGGAGGGACACACAAUGUUUCCACCGAAUUGCAAUUGGAAACUGCCACCUGGAGGUUUGGGGCUCCUCCUGCCACUGACCUAACACAAAAGAAAGAUGGUGUAUCAGUCAGCAGUUGCUGCCAUGAUACUGCAUGGCAAACAACCAUAAAAUCUCCAGGGCAUACAGUGACGAUUGUUUACUUUUUCUCGUGGGUUUGCAGGUCAGUUGGGGCAGCUGUGAUACGGCUACAGGUCAGCUUAGCUACAUGGGCCUUAUUUGGCUGCCUGGCUGAAGGAGCAGCGGCUACCCCUGGCAUGUCUUCUAAGGCCUAGUCUUGGAGCUGACAAGCUAUUUCUGCCCACAUUCCAUUGAUCAAAGAAAGUCGCUAGGCCUAGCCCGAAGACACACAGAUUCAAUGCUUCUAAACCCGUGGUUGGAAUUCCUAACUAGUUCCUAGAGGCUGUUCUCAAACCGUGCUGCGUGCUGUCACACUCUGCUGCCGGUACCCAUUCCCCCCCCCCGGGGGGGGGGGGGAACGACCCCUCGUCUCCAUCAUUCGAGACCUGCAGGAAUUCUCACCUGUCUUCUCCUUGCCUGCCUGCUUUGUUCCCAGCUUUGUACACAUUGGCCCUCACCUGAGUUUCUACAUGCUGCUAGGAAUUCUAGACCAAUCCCCUGCUUCUCUUCCCACACAGAACUGGUUGGAGGAGAGCUAACAUUUAUGGAGAUCCAGCUCUGGCCAAGCAUGACGUCAUAUAUCAUGUCAUUUAUUCCUCAUAACUCUGAGAAACAGGACUCACUCGUCCGCCUCAUGGAUGAGAUGCCAGAAGCUCAGGGAGAGAAAGUUACUUGUCCGAGGUCACAGAACUUGGAAAUGACUAUUGGACUCCACACUAAAAGCUUACAUCAGGUUCCAAGGCCUAAGCUUCUCUCUAUGCUGCACUUCUCUCCCAAACGUCUGGCUGUUUUUCUCCCCACUCUAGCCACAGGCUUAACCCUUUGUUUAUCUAAUGACCUUGUGGGUUCUAAUUGUUGUCUUCGGGAAAUCCGAACAGCUCAUUGCAUGGUCUUGGGAAAAAUGCCUAAUGAGCUGUGGAACAGAGACUUCUGAUUAAAGGGCUCUGAAAAGACUUCGUGAAGGAGGCGGGGAGCAAAUGUUGGCUGGCUAUGGAGUCCCCGUCGUGGCUCAGUCGAAACGAAACUGACUCCUAUCCAUGAGGACACAGGUUCGACCCCUGGCCUCACUCAAUGGGUUAAUGAUCCAGUGUUGCCGUGGCUGCGGUGUAGGCCGGCGGCUACAGCUCCGAUUUGACCCCUAGCCUAGGAACCUCUGUAUGCCAUGAGUGCGGCCCCAAAAAGACAAAACACAAAAAAGCGCUGUCUGGCUCGGAGUGACUGGGGGGCACCCUUGCUAUAGACUCAUGGGACCGUGUGAGCACAGGCAUGGAGGUGGGCAAUUCAGCGCGUGCUUGGCAGUGAGAGGUCUGCCCUGGCAGGAAUGCGGCGUCAGCUGCUGGGUGGAAGGGGGAGAGGGGAACAGCCUUGCUCUUGGGAAGGAGGUCGGCAGCAAGGCUGUGUGAGAGGAGAAGGGCUUGCACCCCAAAGGGACAUCGCAGGGAAGUAAGGAGUGGUUCCUGCCAAGUCCUGUCAGGGAUGAAAGACUUGAUUCCACAGCGUUAUAUCAACAAGAGAAUGAGCCGCCCGAGAAAGCACAGCGAAUUGCUUCCCAGAACUGCUCCUGGAGGACCGCAGGGAACUCGGCGAGCUGGUGGACCCAGGAAAAUGCAUGAGUUAGGUCAGUUACAGUCAAGGCAGAAAGACGAAGUGGAAUUAGGAAGAUGAGGUAUGACUAAAAAGGCCACCAGUGAAGAACCUACCCGAAACCCCCCUUUCGGAAGAUAAGGAGCAGGUCUUCACCAACAUCAGCAAGACAAAUAACCACCAAGUGCAAAGGCUGAACUUGAACUCCUAAUUGAGUGACAAGUCUUCAGAAAAGCCCUAAUGAAUUUCUCUCCAAACACCUAAAUGUCCUAGCAAUAUAAAAGCCCCUCCUGGCAAUGUAGUUUUGACGCACAGAAAUGGGUGCACCCACCACAAAUUCGCUCCUGCAUCCUGAAAAGAGGCAGGCGUUUCUGAACCACUAAACAUAAGAAGGAUCACCGAGGAUUUCUGAUUACCUGCAGCCCAAGAAGAGAAUGGGCAUGAUAUUGUUCUGUGUCCUUUGAAAGACUAGCAACGGAUCAAAGUCACUCACUUGGUUUGUUUGCUUAUGUAUUUAUUUUUUGUCAUUUUAGGGCCGCACCUGCAGCCUAUGGAGGUUCCCAGGCCACCGGCCUACAUCACAGCCACAGCAACACAGGAUCUGAGCUGCGUCUUUGACCUACACUGCAGGUCACAGCAAUGCUGGAUCCUUAACCCACUGGGCAAGGCCAGGGAUCAAACCUGUGUCCUCAUAGAUGCUGGUCAGAUUCGCUUCCCCUGAGCCUCGACAGGAACUGCACACUUGGUUGAUUUAAUAUAUCCUCUGAGCUGGAUAAACUGAUUUCAGAAAUAAAGGUUGGGUCUCACCGAGAUGGCACAGUGUUCCAAGGCUUUGGACUUAAGGGGCUGUCAGUUUUUGACCUAGUGACAGAAUUUUGGUGUGGAAACCGGCCUGACUUAGUCAUUAUACCGACCUGCACACAAGAUUCUAAAUAUGGGCUCUUCCCUGAACUUUAACGAUUUUACCACGUUUUUUCCGUGUUGCCACAUCUCUUUGCCCGUGGCAGCCCCGUGAUCCUGAAUACGCUCCCUCUGCUUUCACCGGCCCGCCCCUGCCUAAGCCAUGCAGGGUCUUCCUGCUCCUGGACUAAAUUCCAGACUUCCUCCCUCUGCCUGCAUCCUGUGGCUUCUGCCCACCUCUCCAGCCUCACCUUUUCCCACUCUGCCCACUCCUCAUCCGUGCUGAACUCCUGACCGCCUUCCGCUUCUCAGAUCUGCAAGGCAUUUCCUGCUCAGGGGCAGUCUCUGCAGAGGACGCAUGGCUGGUUCUUGCUCAUCCUUCAGAUCUCAGCAACUAGAGUCUCUGAUCAUAGGAGCCCAAAGCUGUGAUGAUCCUUCUCACGCAUGUAUUUCACCUGUUUGCUGUCUGUCUCCCUAGCUAGGGUAUGAGCUCCAUGGGAGUAGGGACCAAGCAUGGAUAGGACCAAACUACUUUUCGAGCUGCAGCUCAAAUAUUGUUCUUUCUAUCUUCAGAGCCUGGUACCACAUGGUCAACAGCCAGUGAAUGAAUGAGUGAAAGUAAAAGUGGGGAGAAAGUGAAGCAAAAGGCAGUAGUGAUCUUAACAUAGACACAUAAAUCAGACUAAGACUUGGAGACAAAACCAGGAUUUCUGGAAUUGAGACAACACUCCAAGCAAUCUAUGUUAUCAACAAUAUAGUAUCAUGCAUACACCUUGUAGCUAUUUAUUGUAGGAUAAAUAAAUAGGAUACCUGUUUGUUCUUGUUGUUACAAAAUAAGUUGUUUCAGAGUUGUUACUUUAAUAUUAAAUUGUGGACACUUUAAAAAAUGGAAAACUGAACAAUACUUGCUUCCUUCCCUCCAUCACAGAGCUAAUGCUGAGAGCAAAUAAUUGUAAAUUCUUCCAACUUAGAUAGAAACCUCUAAAUAUCUUCAGGGAGUUCCCUGGUGGCUCAGUGUGUUAAGGACCUGGCAUUUCUGGUUUCUGCUAUGGCAUGGGUUCUAUCCCUGGCCCAGAAAUUUCUGCAUGCCACAGGUGUGGUCAAAAAAAGUCUUCAAAAAGACUCAAAAAAAAAAAAAAAAAAAGGAAAGGAAAAGAAAGGCUCAUAAGUCAUUGUUUACCUUCAAAUAAUUAUUUUCCACCACAAAGGAACCAGUUCCAUUAAAGUAUAUUUCUUAAGAGGCUACCUGCUCUUCCUCUUGUUCUGUCUAACCCUCCCCACACGCCACGCCCUCCCCUCGUGCCCUCCCCACCCCAGAGCCUACCCUGCUUCCUCUACACCCAUCUUCACCCUUCUCUCAGUAAACACUUAUUUGUCUUUUACUAAAACAGACAGAGAGAGCACCUUGCCAUAUGUAUUAAGUAACUUGUAAAUGUAACUUGUUUCCCUUGUAGAAUAUUAACAAUAACUCAUCGGUGCAAUGCACCUUAAGGAAGACAGUGUUUUAGUAGUUUAUCUCAUUGGUGAUACUGAGCCGAGGCUUUGAUGCGUGGGGCGGGGGGCGGGGGGAGGGGACAGAAUGGCCCAGGUGUUCCCCCCCACUGCAAAGGAGGAAGGCUAUUCUGAUAAAGGCUUUUGUUAUUAGAAGGUGCUGUUACAGCUAUUACAAAUAUUUAUAGUGUUUGUUGAAUGGACCUCCUAAUCUCUCCUCUAAUUACUUUUCCCCCCAAAUAACUUGCCAAUGGCCUACUUUCAAUGUGUUACCCAAUCUGCCUCCAUUUUAAGAAUAAAAGAACAAAUCUUACCAGGAA
rnacentral:lncRNA from 1 species